rnacentral:rRNA from 1 species
UAGGGAAUUUUCGUCAAUGGGGGCAACCCUGAACGAGCAAUGCCGCGUGAGCGAAGAAGGUCUUCGGAUUGUAAAGCUCUGUUGCGGGAAAAGGAAGGAAAGAGGAAAUGCUUUUCUUUGGAUGGUACCCGGCCAGAAAGUCACGGCUAACUACGUGCC